AACGUAGGGGGCGAGCGUUGUCCGGAAUUACUGGGCGUAAAGGGCGUGUAGGCGGUCUAAUAAGUCUCGAGGUGAAAACUUACGGCUCAACCGUAAGCGUGCCUGAGAAACUGUUGGACUUGAGGGCAGGAGAGGGGAGUGGAAUUCCCAGUGUAGCGGUGAAAUGCGUAGAUAUUGGGAGGAACACCGGUGGCGAAGGCGGCUCUCUGGCCUGUUACUGACGCUGAGGCGCGAAAGCGUGGGGAGCGAA
rnacentral:rRNA from 1 species